AGCCUGAGUUAUGGCUUGAUCAGCUUCUGAGGAAGCCCCUUCAGGGUAAGCAAAUGGAUCCUUCUGCAUCUAUGAGCAAAUCUCUUCUCUGUGUUCCUUAAUCUCCUAUUUUCACGUCCUUUCCCGCAUUCCACCCCUCUAUUAAACAACUAAUUCCCACAACAUUAUCAAACUACUUACUAAGACUGUAUUACUAUUAUUCUUCUCAUCCUUCCUAUUACCUAUCUCCUUUUCUACUUAUGACUUAUAACUAGGUUGCUUGUAUCUUUACGAUUUAUAUUGUGUUAUUUAGUUUCCUAGUAUGGUUUUGAUUGCUUACAUAGUAUCAUAUGAGUAUCACUAAGUGUUGUAUCUUAUGAUCCAUGAUAAAUGUUCUUAUGAUGACUAUGAUCAUGAUUUAUCACUUCUAUCUUUGAUGUACACUGAGAGCCUAUGCACCGAAGACAAAUUCCUUUGGUGUCAAUCACACUUGUCCAAUAAAGAAUUCUAUUCUAUUCUAUUCUAUUCUGUUCUGUUCUGUUCUGUUCUGUUCUGUUCUGUUCCAUUCUCUAUUCUCUGCUAUUCUAUUUUCUCUUCCAUUCUCUAUUCAAUUCUCUUAUCUUCUAUUUUCUNNNNNNNNNNUAUUUUCUCUUCCAUUCUCUAUUCAAUUCUCUUAUCUUCUAUUUUCUAUUCUAUUCUCUAUUCUCUUCAAUUCUCUCUUCUGUUCUGUUCUAUAUUCUGUUCUAUUCUAUUAUCUAUUCUAUUAUCUAUUCUAUUAUCUAUUCUAUUCUCUAUUCUAUUCUCUAUCCCAUUCCAUUCUCUAUUCUCUAUUCUAUUCUAUUCUAUUCUAUUCUGUUCUGUUCUGUUCUGUUCUGUUCUAUUCUAUUCUAUUCUAUUCUGGUCUGGUCUGGUCUGGUCUAUUCUGGUCUGGUCUAUUCUAUUCUACUCUGUUCUCUUCUCUUCUCUUCUAUUUUCUAUUCUAUUCUACUUUAUUCUAUUCUCUAUUCUAUUCUAUGCUAUUCUCUCUUCUCUUCACCUCUCUUCUAUUCUAUCUGCUGUUCUAUUCUAUUCUCUAUUCUAUUCUCUAUUCUAUUCUCUAUCCCAUUCCAUUCUAUUCCAUAUUUUCUAUUAU
rnacentral:lncRNA from 1 species